UACGUAGGGGGCGAGCGUUGUCCGGAUUUACUGGGCGUAAAACGCUUGUAGGCGGCCACGCCAAGUCGGAUGUGAAAUCUCCCGGCUUAACUGGGAGGGGUCAUUCGAUACUGGCGGGCUCGAGGCAGGUAGGGGGAAGCGGAAUUCCCGGUGUAGUGGUGGAAUGCGUAGAUAUCUGGAGGAACACCGGUGGCGAAGGCGGCAUCCUGGACUACUACUGACGCUGAGGAGCGAAAGCCAGGGGAGCAAACGGG
rnacentral:rRNA from 1 species